AGUUACAAGACCUAUAAAACAACCAUUUUCCAGAUUCAAUUCACAAACACUAAAGAGUAUGCACUUUUGAUGUGCCUUAUAUUCCUACAUCCUUAAGUAAGCUCCCUUAAAAUCCCUACCCUUUACUUUCUUAUUUGGUAUCUUGAAUUAUGUUUUUCAUUUUAAAACAAAAACAUCAAGUUAGUAAAUAGCUGUAAAAAUGACCAAAAAAAUCAGUAA
rnacentral:lncRNA from 1 species